rnacentral:piRNA from 1 species
UCCUAGAUCUCAGAGCAUACAGCACUUU